UACGGAGGGUGCAAGCGUUAAUCGGAAUUACUGGGCGUAAAGGGCGCGUAGGCGGCCUGCUAAGUCGAACGUGAAAUCCCUGGGCUCAACCCAGGAACUGCGUCCGAUACUGGUUGGCUUGAAUCCGGGAGAGGGAUGUGGAAUUCCAGGUGUAGCGGUGAAAUGCGUAGAUAUCUGGAGGAACACCGGUGGCGAAGGCGACAUCCUGGACCGGUAUUGACGCUGAGGCGCGAAAGCCAGGGGAGCAAACGGG
rnacentral:rRNA from 1 species